CUGAAUGAUGAUGGGAGUUUAUCAAUCUUGCUUUUUUUGAAUUCAAUUUUCAGAUCAGUGUUGUAAUUCUUCAAUUUUCUGCUUUAUUUUCUUAGAUAUGAUCUUUGGUUGAUUGUACUUUUGGCUUUUGCUAAUUUCAAUUGGGCCUUUUGGAUUUUUUCUCCGAUUCUUCUCAACCGGAAAAUGAAGGAAGUCUUUUCGAUAAAAGCUGAGGAACCCAGAAGCAAAACUCUUUGUAAAGUCUGAGGCAUUCAAAUAGAAAAGGGAAGAAGGGAAAUCAGUUUCAUCUCAAAUUUCAUAGGAGAAGAGCUUCUAUCCACAGAGUGGAGGAGGUUUGGUUAGACCUUCACAACCGAUUUUGAAGAAAUUUUAUAAGCAGUGUGAUCCUGGUCAGUGCUCACUGUUUCAGUCUCCUUUUCUAAAUUUUAUUCCCUGCUGAAUUACUAUUUGUUGCUGCACCACUUUUUGUAUAGAUAGAACUGCAGCAAGCAAUGUUUUUGGAGAGACCCCAUGACCAACUUUUGAUAGGCUAACACCUUUUGUAUAUAUACACCUGGAGCAAGUAGAACAACUAUUUUUUGGAAAAUGUUCCAGCAGCAAUUGUAACCAAGUUGACCUUAAACUAAGAUAGCCUAUUUUUUGAAAACUACUAUAAUGGAAAAUGUUGCCAGUAGAAACUUUGAUAAGAUCUCAAAGCUAGGGCAUGAUUUAAUUCAUCUUUUGUUUUAGAUGAUCUGCAGUGAUGAUAUUGUACUAUUUUGUCAUAUUGUACAAUUUUGUCUGAGAUCCUUGAUUUAUAAUGUAGCAAUGGUCUCAAGACAAUUGAAAACAAUUUUGUCGUCCUCUUAAGUUUAGUUCUAUUACAUUUAAUUUAUUGAUAACGGUACAUCCCGCAGCAAAGCGCGGGGAAGUUU